rnacentral:ribozyme from 1 species
GAGGAAAGAGGGGUUGAGCUAUUCGCGAAGCUUACAGGGAAUG